rnacentral:rRNA from 1 species
UACGUAGGGCGCAAGCGUUGUCCGGAAUUAUUGGGCGUAAAGAGCUCGUAGGCGGUCUGUCGCGUCUGGUGUGAAAUCUCAUGGCUCAACUGUGAGCUUGCAUCGGGUACGGGCAGACUAGAGUGCUGUAGGGGAGACUGGAAUUCCUGGUGUAGCGGUGAAAUGACGCAGAUAUCAGGAGGAACACCGGUGGCGAAGGCGGGUCUCUGGGCCGAUACUGACGCUGGAGGAGCGAAAGCCGUGGGGAGCGAAACAGG